AACGAACGCUGGCGGCAGGCUUAACACAUGCAAGUCGAACGCCCCGCAAGGGGAGUGGCAGACGGGUGAGUAACGCGUGGGAAGCUACCCAGAUCUACGGAACAACAGAGGGACACUUCUGCUAAUACCGUAUACGCCCUACGGGGGACAGAUUUAUAGGAUUUGGUUGGGCCCGGGUAAGAGUAGGUAGUUGGUGGGGUAAUGGCCUACCAAGGCGACGAUCUUUAGCUGGGCUGAGAGGAUGAUCAGCCACCCUGGGACUGAGACACGGCCCAGACUCCUGCGGGAGGGAGCAGUGGGGAAUAUUGGACAAUGGGCGCAAGCAUGAUCCAGCCAUGCCGCGUGAGUGAUGAAGGCCUUAGGGUUGUAAAGCUCUUUCACCGAUGAAGAGAAUGACGGUAGUCGGAGAAGAAGCCCCGGCUAACUUCGUGCCAGCCGCCGCGGUAA
rnacentral:rRNA from 1 species